rnacentral:rRNA from 1 species
UACGGGGGGAGCAAACGUUGUUCGGAAUCACUGGGCGUAAAGGGCGCGUAGGCGGUCUGCUAAGCGUGCGGUGAAAGCCUGGGGCUCAACCCCAGGUCUGCCGUGCGAACUGGUGGACUAGAGCACUGUAGAGGCAGGUGGAAUUCCGGGUGUAGCGGUGGAAUGCGUAGAGAUCCGGAAGAACACCGGUGGCGAAGGCGGCCUGCUGGGCAGUUGCUGACGCUGAGGCGCGACAGCGUGGGGAGCAAACAGG